UAUUGCACAAUGGGGGGAACCCUGAUGCAGCGACGCCGCGUGGGCGAUGGAGUGCUUCGGCAUGUAAAGCUCUGUCAGCAGGGAAGAGAAUGACGGUACCUGACCAAGAAGCCCCGGCUAAAUACGUGCCAGCAGCCGCGGUAAUACGUAUGGGGCAAGCGUUAUCCGGAUUUACUGGGUGUAAAGGGAGCGUAGGCGGCAGGGCAAGCCUGAUGUGAAAGCCCGGGGCUCAACCCCGGGACUGCAUUGGGAACUGCCCCGCUCGAGUGCCGGAGGGGCAGGAGGAAUUCCUAGUGUAGCGGUGAAAUGCGUAGAUAUUAGGAGGAACACCAGUGGCGAAGGCGGCCUGCUGGACGGUGUACUGACGCUGAGGCUCGAAAGCGUGGGGAGCAA
rnacentral:rRNA from 1 species